GUUUAACACCAUAACCAUCUGCUGUGUUUUCAUUCUUUGUUUCAUCAUUUCUACAUCUGUGAUUGUUACUGUGACCCUGUACCCUGAUUAUUUCAGAAGGUUAUUGAAAAAAAAGAGCAAGGAGAAGAACGGUGGAAGCGAAGUUUAAAUUGAUGACAGCGCAAAGGAAUUGGAAGAGGAAACGUUAUAAUAAUACCAUCAGUUUAUGUGAUUUAUUUGUUUCCCAACAUGCAGUGCUGCUGAAUUUGAUUAUGCACUAUAAAUAAUAAAUAAUA